rnacentral:tRNA from 1 species
GGGUGCGUAGCUCAGCCGGCUAGAGCGUUCGCUUCACACGCGAGAGGUCGAGAGUUCGAGUCUCCCCGCACCCACCA